UGAUUAAUUAUUGAUGAUGAACUGUUGGUACAGCUGCUCCAGGUCCACAGACCUGAGGGUCCAGGUUAUUGAUUAUUAAUUAAUUAUUGAUUAAUUAUUGAUGAUGAACUGUUGGUACAGCUGCUCCAGGUCCACAGACCUGUGAGUCCAGGUUAUUGAUUAUUAAUUAAUUAUUGAUUAGUAUUACAGGUCUUUGUGUGAGUGUGUGUUACAGGUUAUGUAUCUUUAUGUGAGUGUGUGUUACAAGUUGUGUAUCUUUAUGUGAGUGUGUGUAACAGGUUGUGUAUCUUUAUGUGAGUGUGUGUUUCAGGUUG